rnacentral:lncRNA from 1 species
GUAUUUCUAGAAUUGCUGCAUUUUCUCCUAGAUUGCAACUGUUUCACUUUGCUAACACUGUGCUACAGAUUUGUAUGGCCUUCUCUAGGGGUAUAUAAGCUACUUAAUUUAAGAAAUCUCUUUCUCCUACAAGUGUCUUAUCUAACAAGGUCCAAAUGUCUGAAACAUGUUGUGUGGGGUGUUGCGGUCUUUCAGGGAAAUAAACAGGUUGGUCUCCGGGGACACAUAGUGGUCUUUAAAUUGUACUGACAAUUAUAUUUGGCUCCGAUAAGCAGCUUCUGCAGGCAUACUGUGUGGCUUACAGAACAUGGGCUGAAAAAUGAAGCCUGUCCUACAAAGACCGGAAUAGAUGGAGUAGGCUUCUUGGUAUGGUGAUGUCUAAAUCCGUAAAGAAUAUAUAAAGCCUUUGAUAAGUGAUCAGUUUUCCUAUUUGAAGUAAAUAAAUUUGCUCUUAAUUUAUUGAAGGCAGAGACAGAAAGAUCUCAAGGGUCUCAUGCAUUAGAUUCAGGACAUAGUGAAUUAAAAAUGUCCCCUACCCCAAAUCAGUUACAAUAACAGCAGUUGCUGAAUAAUAAUGGAAAUGAUUGAUUUGAUUGAGAUCUGUUGGCUGUAUUCACUUUCUAGUUUAAGUGGACUUAAGUGUUAAAAGUUUGGAGUUCAUCUCUGAUGCUUUUGGAAAGUUUUCAAACAUUAGUUUGAGGGAGGGGUUACCCUUUGACUUACAUUCUCCCUGCUUCUUAAAUCUUCGUGUUUGAUUAUGAGAGGAGUUUGUCAUGAACUUUGUUACUUGAUAAAACUCACAGCAUUAUUCCUUUUUCCUGACAGUUAAGUACAGUAACUGUAAGUCACUUUUAUUUAAUAAGUUUACAUGCCCCACAGUGUUUCUGGGAAAGAAAAUGCCGAGGGCAUAUCUGUCAACUUUAUUACAGGUAAACUGGAUUUUGAGUGUGUCUGCAGAGCUGGCUGAGGCUGUGUGUUUGGUGAAUGCUAACAUCUGGCAGCCACUGAGUUCUGGCAUGAGGGGGAAGGCAGGCAGAUGGGGGCACUAUUGCCUCAAAAGUGAAAGGUGGAAAAGGCUGCAACAUUCCUUUCAGUGCCAUGGUGGUUUCGCCCAAAGCGAUUUGUU